UACGGAGGGGGCUAGCGUUGUUCGGAUUUACUGGGCGUAAAGCGCGUGUAGGCGGCUUGGCAAGUCGGAUGUGAAAGCCCACGGCUCAACCGUGGAAGCGCAUCCGAAACUGCUUCGCUCGAGUCUCGGAGAGGAAGGUGGAAUGCUUGGUGUAGAGGUGAAAUUCGUAGAUAUCAAGCAGAACACCUGCGGCGAAGGCGGCCUUCUGGACGAUGACUGACGCUGAGACGCGAAAGCGUGGGGAGCAAACAGG
rnacentral:rRNA from 1 species